rnacentral:rRNA from 1 species
AGCGGUGGAGUAUGUGGUUUAAUUCGAAGCUACGCGAAGAACCUUACCAGGUCUUGACAUCUUCUGCCAAUCCUAGAGAUAGGACGUUCCCUUCGGGGACAGAAUGACAGGUGGUGCAUGGUUGUCGUCAGCUCGUGUCGUGAGAUGUUGGGUUAAGUCCCGCAACGAGCGCAACCCUUAUUAUCAGUUGCCAGCAUUCAGUUGGGCACUCUGGUGAGACUGCCGGUGACAAACCGGAGGAAGGUGGAAAUGACGUCAAAUCAUCAUGCCCCUUAUGACCUGGGCUACACACGUGCUACAAUGGACGGUACAACGAGUCGCGAAGUCGUGAGGCUAAGCUAAUCUCUUAAAGCCGUUCUCAGUUCGGAUUGUAGGCUGCAACUCGCCUACAUGAAGUUGGAAUCGCUAGUAAUCGCGGAUCAGCAUGCCGCGGCGAAUACGUUCCCGGGCCUUGUACACACCGCCCGUCACACCAUGAGAGUUUGUAACACCCAAAGUCGGUGAGGUAACCUUUUGGAGCCAACCGCCUAAGGUGGGACAGAUGAUUAGGGUGAAGUCGUAACAAGGUAACC